GCCUCGGUGGCGGAAUUGGUAUACGCGCACGACUCAAAAUCGUGUGUCGCAAGGCGUGAGGGUUCGACUCCCUCCCGAGGCACAA
rnacentral:tRNA from 1 species